rnacentral:lncRNA from 1 species
CUCUGCUGACUUUUCCCAUGAGGUCUUAGGAUAUGGAGGUCUAGGACAUAUGCUGAAACUCUGUUUUUCCUAUGGGAGGAAUAUCAUUUUCUCUAUUACUUAGUGAGAGACUGCAUGGGACUGUGUUGGAUUGUAACUCAUGGCAGGCUGAGAGUAGUUAAUAUGGAGUAGGAAUGAUUCAUGUUUCAGCUCCUAAAAUUAUCCUCCUCAUAAGGACUUCCUGCAUCCUUUGUUACCACCCCGCAACAUCACUGUGGUGGCCCAAUGGCCCUUGGUGGCUGGAAAAGACAUUAAGAAGGACAUCUUCCUCCAGAGCUGGUGGCAAGACACUGGCCAUACAGCGUGCCCUGCAGACACUGGCGGGGGUCAGGUGUCCAGCAUCAUAUGGGUCUGCAGUGAGGAAUAUUUGGAUCUGCAAUGGGGAACGUGGCCAACCCAGAGCUCAGGGCUUGAGGCUAAAUGUGCGCAGCCCGUUCCAUGAAGCUGCUAGCUGCUGCAGCCUGUAGCAUGAAGCACUGUAUUCCCCAAAUGCCUGACCAUACAAAGGAACAGAAGGCAUUAUCUGCAUGUCUCAAGAGAGGAGAGACUGCGAUUUGCUGCAGCACCUGACUUCCUCAGCAGCCAGGCACUCCUGCAGCGAGCAGCACGCCGGUGACUCACCCAGCGUCAGACAGAAAGUCUGCAGCACCACGACGGCAACUUCACUCCUCUGUGCACACAGAGCACUUCCAGCAUCCAGGGUGCAGUGACACUUCCCCUCACUCCCUCCGAGCAGCAUUAUUUCAUCGUGUCUGCCAGGCACAACUUGCUGCUGGAAUUUGAUGCUUUUAUCUCUGCUCUUUGAUGGACACCCCAGUGGCACAUUUGACUCAUCCUAUUUCUAAUGUUGUCGUGAUAGGAUUCAACACCCCCUCCGUUCUCCCCAGACUCUGUAGAAAAGGUAAAUUUGGAAACCUUUUGCUCAGAGUGACUGAUGAUAGCAGCUCUGUUGUGCCUGAGAAAAUCUCUCACAAUCUAUGAGUUCAAAAACCAUAGGAAUGUUGUUGCUAUGGCUGUGCAUUGUGUUGACUGUGGCUGAGCAAGGUGCACAAC